UCUCCGUAGGUGAACCUGCGGAGGGAUCAUUACUGAGUGAGGGCUCACGCCCGACCUCCAACCCUUUUGUGAACCACCUCGUUGCUUCGGGGGCGACCCUGCCGUUCGCGGCGUGGGGCCCCCGGGGUCAAUCAAACACUGCAUUCUCUGCGUCGGAGUAUUAGUAAAUCUAAUCAAAACUUUCAACAACGGAUCUCUUGGUUCUGGCAUCGAUGAAGAACGCAGC
rnacentral:misc_RNA from 1 species